GGCCGGCGGGGCGGGGAGGGCCCGGGGCGGCCCGGGGGGAGAAGCGCCGCGCUGCUUUCUGUGGGAGGCCGGGCCCGGAGGGGCUCAUCGCCUGCCCACAGGCACGGCCGCGCGGAAAGCAGGGCUAAAGCUCAGCACAGCAGUGAAGUGGUGAGAACACAGCCUGGUUUGGCUUUCGAGCACUGCAGAGGGCUGUGAGGACACCUAAGCUGCAGGUAAUCCUGUGAAGUAGGAAACAGCUGAUUUUAAGUGUGUAAAAUCCUCUCUUAGCAAUGGAUGUGACAGUUCUUGUGAUAGCUCUGCAGACACUGGGUGCGCUGCAUGUCUGCGCAUGGAUCUUGGAGACAUCUGAGAUGGGAAAAUACUGCAUCACACAGUCUCUGGUUACCAAGGCAAAGGCAGAAAGAAAAUCCAUCAGACAAUAGAGAAGAUGGAAGAGUUGAGUCUAACCAAUUUCAAGUACCUUAAAACUAACAGCGAGGGCCCCUUAGCACCACUGUCCAGGCUGUGGUGGCCCAGAGUUGGAAUCAGAACUGCAGAAGGUGACCCUAAAUAAACUUGCUGCUGGACUUAC